rnacentral:rRNA from 1 species
UAGUAACGGCGAGUGAAGCGGCAACAGCUCAAAUUUGAAAUCUGGCCCUCGUGGUCCGAGUUGUAAUUUGUAGAGGAUGCUUUUGGUGCGGUGCCUUCCGAGUUCCCUGGAACGGGACGCCAGAGAGGGUGAGAGCCCCGUACGGUUGGACACCUACCCUAUAUAUAGCUCCUUCGACGAGUCGAGUAGUUUGGGAAUGCUGCUCUAAAUAGGAGGUAAAUUUCUUCUAAAGCUAAAUACCGGCCAGAGACCGAUAGCGCACAAGUAGAGUGAUCGAAAGAUGAAAAGCACUUUGAAAAGAGGGUUAAAUAGCACGUGAAAUUGUUGAAAGGGAAGCGUUUGCGACCAGACUUUUUCCAGGCGGAUCAUCCGGUGUUCUCACCGGUGCACUUCGCCUGGUUUAGGCCAGCAUCGGUUCUCUUAGGGGGAUAAAGGCUUGGGGAACGUAGCUCCUUCGGGAGUGUUAUAGCCCCUUGCGUAAUACCCUUCGGGGGACCGAGGAUCGCGCUCUGCAAGGAUGCUGGCGUAAUGGUCGUCAACGACCCGUCUUGAAACACGGACCAAGGAGUCGAACAUUUGUGCGAGUGUUUGGGUGUUAAACCCUCACGCGUAAUGAAAGUGAACGGAGGUGAGAGCCCUUACGGGUGCAUCAUCGACCGAUCCUGAUGUCUUCGGAUGGAUUUGAGUAAGAGCAUAACUGUUCGGACCCGAAAGAUGGUGAACUAUGCGUGGAUAGGGUGAAGCCAGAGGAAACUCUGGUGGAGGCUCGCAGCGGUUCUGACGUGCAAAUCGAUCGUCAAAUCUGCGCAUGGGGGCGAAAGACUUAUCGAACCAUCUAGUAGCU